rnacentral:rRNA from 1 species
GGCGGCGUGCUUAACACAUGCAAGUCGAGCGGAAAGGCCCUUCGGGGGUACUCGAGCGGCGAACGGGUGAGUAACACGUGAGCAACCUGCCCCUGACUCUGGGAUAAGCCCGGGAAACUGGGUCUAAUACCGGAUACGACCGCUCCGGCAUCGGGUGGUGGUGGAAAGUUUUUCGGUUGGGGAUGGGCUCGCGGCCUAUCAGCUUGUUGGUGGGGUAGUGGCCUACCAAGGCGACGACGGGUAGCCGGCCUGAGAGGGCGACCGGCCACACUGGGACUGAGACACGGCCCAGACUCCUACGGGAGGCAGCAGUGGGGAAUAUUGCGCAAUGGGCGGAAGCCUGAGCCAGCGACGCCGCGUGGGGGAUGACGGCCUUCGGGUUGUAAACCUCUUUCAGCAGGGACGAAGUUGACGUGUACCUGCAGAAGAAGCGCCGGCUAACUACGUGCCAGCAGCCGCGGUAAUACGUAGGGCGCAAGCGUUGUCCGGAAUUAUUGGGCGUAAAGAGCUCGUAGGUGGCUGGUCGCGUCUGCCGUGAAAGCCGCAGCUUAACUGCGGGUCUGCGGUGGAUACGGGCCGGCUAGAGGUAGGUAGGGGCAAGUGGAAUUCCUGGUGUAGCGGUGAAAUGCGCAGAUAUCAGGAGGAACACCGGUGGCGAAGGCGGCUUGCUGGGCCUUACCUGACGCUGAGGAGCGAAAGCGUGGGGAGCGAACAGGAUUAGAUACCCUGGUAGUCCACGCUGUAAACGUUGGGCGCUAGGUGUGGGGGUCUUCCACGAUUCCGUGCCGGACGUAACGCAUUAAGCGCCCCGCCUGGGGAGUACGGCCGC